CUUCGCAGUUUUAUGGCGCGUUUCGUGCGUCCAUCGCGGUUGUGCAACACCCGCUCGCGGUGUACGCUAGCUUCGCGAGCGGUUUCCUCGGCUUUUUGCGCUUUAAAAGUUGUUUACGAUUGCUCCGACUGGAAUCGAUGAGAUACUGUUUCAAAGAACGGUUCUUUUAAUAAAACGGAGGUCGUUAACUUUAAUAACACGACAGCCUUCUUUAUGGCACGUCUUAACGAUUCGCGCGAAAUCUUUUUAGUCGUUGGUCUACUACACGUAGAAGCAGAAUUAACAAGAUUAACAUACUCUUAUUCGAAGGUGCAAUGGAAAAUUAUUUGGCUAAUUGAAGAAUAUGUAAUUGAUUUACGAUAUCGUAAAAGAAUUAGAUUUCAAAAUUUGUUAUCUAGUGAAGAGAUAAUUUUUGUAAAUAACACCGAGAGAUUCAAGUUCUUUGACACUGGUAUAGAACGGAGCAAAAGUAUCCUUGCUUGUUUUUACGAACAGGUGAGUAGGACGAGGAAAGGUUAACAGGACUCGAGGAUAUUCCGUUUACAUUCUUCGUCGAAACUGGUUUCUCCCUCGUUCGAUCGUCAGGGAUGCUGUAUGGUCUUUUGGACCUUAGAAAGGUUGCAAAACGCGCGAGAAAAAUUGACGAAAUUAAUUCCUUUCGUCUGAAAUCAAAUCCUUUUAGCCGAAGGAAUUUUAAUGAAAAAGGGCAAUUCUAGAUAACUAUAAUCUAGAUUCCAUUUUACAACAAUAUUCCGAUAUAACGUAAAAAACUGCGUGUCAAUAACGAAUCGCCCUUUAUUAAAUUUGCAUCCGAACAAAAUAUAAAGAAAAAAGAUUUUCCUCCUCUGCAAUAUGAUACGUGAACAGUACGAAGGCAAAAAGGCAAAAGCGCGAUGUCAUCGAUGAGUUGCACCUGAGCAAUCUCAUCUCCAUCAAACGUCGCAAACGGACAAGGUAAAAAAGACACAGUACUAACGUCCAUUCGAUUAAGAUACGACGGAAGCGUAACUCGAAUGCGGAGGAAGUUGAAGCGAGGCAAGGAAGGAGAAAGAGAAAAAAAAAGAAUCGAAAAGAAAAAAGAAAGAAAGAAAGAAGUAAAAAAAGGAGUGUCGGUUCGAUGCAAGCCAGAAGAAAGCAACGGCGGUGCAGCUGUUUCGCUGUUGGUCCGGUUGCACAAUGCAAAAUUCGGGUUCUAAUUCUAAAGCGAGUACCAAUCAGCCCGGGCAUUGUUCACCCAUGAAAGCUCGCAAUUUUUCAGGGUUAAUCGUUCCUUGAAACCUAAUAAGCGACGAGCUAACGCCGUUGGAUGUCGUUUUCUUAGGAGGAAAAAAAAACACAUCCCCGUUCAGGAGUGGACACACGUCCCCCGAAAAAAUCACCAAGGGGAUGCCGAGAGAAGGUUCGAAAAGUUUGACGCUCGAACACGCCUCGAAUACGUCACGAUCGAGACCGGUUAACAGUCGAGGUAAUUGGCCAUUGUGAAUUCGCUGUGUGUCGCCAAAGAGUACCGUGCAAGUGGAGGAAUAUAGAUAUUCUAGCUCGUUUGAGUAAUCUGACUUUCAAUGGAUAGCUAAUAAGAAGUGUCGAAGAAAAUCAAUUAAGAAAGUACGUCAAUGUAAAUGGGACAGGUAAUCGAUAGAAAUCGCCUUGGGAUUCCUCGUUCGAUGUCCAAGAAAGUUUGUAACACGAAUACCAACAAAGAAUCUAAACUACGGAAGAGAAUAAAUCAUGCUACGUGUUAUACAAUCGCACCGUUUGAAGAUAGGAUACCACGGUUAAAUUCUAUGUACCAAGACGAAAAAAGAAGUUAUAUAAUGGAGUUCUACUCUGGAAGCUUCGCGUGAUUCGUCCUAUUCUGAAAUUAACAAUUGGAAUACCAAAAUUGAAACUCCUAUCGAAAAUCAAUAAGAUUCGAAUAAUUAACAAGCUGAGCGUCACGAGUCUUAAGAAAUUAUUUUACAUAUCUUAUACUGACAAUUUUUGAAAGUAAAUUAGAUUCAUUACAGGUGAUAUUUAUGUAGUCGAUACAUCUUACGUCACGAUAAACCUCCAAUUAUACUACAUAAACUGCAGAGAUAAAUUGUUUCUUCGAAAUUACGAUUCACAUAUACGUUUCUUAUUGCAUAGAAUAUUCAAAUCUAAGAAACUACAUCGUAAAUUCGUGUAUUACGUUUCUUGAAAUAAAAAGAUUCUCGUAAAUAA